GAUGAACGCUGGCGGCGUGCCUAAUACAUGCAAGUCGAGCGAACAGACGAGGAGCUUGCUCCUCUGACGUUAGCGGCGGACGGGUGAGUAACACGUGGAUAACCUACCUAUAAGACUGGGAUAACUUCGGGAAACCGGAGCUAAUACCGGAUAAUAUAUUGAACCGCAUGGUUCAAUAGUGAAAGACGGUUUUGCUGUCACUUAUAGAUGGAUCCGCGCCGCAUUAGCUAGUUGGUAAGGUAACGGCUUACCAAGGCAACGAUGCGUAGCCGACCUGAGAGGGGGAUCGGCCACACGGGAACAGAGACCCGGUCCAGACUCCUACGGGAGGCAGCAGUAGGAAAUCUUCCGAAAUGGGCGAAAGCCUGACGGAGAAACGCCGCGUGAGUGAUGAAGGUUUUCGGAUCGUAAAACUCUGUUAUUAGGGAAGAACAAAUGUGUAAGUAACUAUGCACGUCUGGAAGGUACCUAAUCAGAAAGCCACGGCUAACUACGAG
rnacentral:rRNA from 1 species